AUUGAACGCUGGCGGCAUGCUUUACACAUGCAAGUCGAACGGCAGCGCGGGCUUCGGCCUGGCGGCGAGUGGCGAACGGGUGAGUAAUGCAUCGGAACGUGCCCAGUAGUGGGGGAUAGCCCGGCGAAAGCCGGAUUAAUACCGCAUACGACCUGAGGGUGAAAGCGGGGGACCGAAAGGCCUCGCGCUAUUGGAGCGGCCGAUGUCGGAUUAGCUAGUUGGUGGGGUAAAGGCUUACCAAGGCGACGAUCCGUAGCUGGUCUGAGAGGACGACCAGCCACACUGGGACUGAGACACGGCCCAGACUCCUACGGGAGGCAGCAGUGGGGAAUUUUGGACAAUGGGGGCAACCUGAUCCAGCCAUGCCGCGUGCGGGAAGAAGGCCUUCGGGUUGUAAACCGCUUUUGUUCGGGAAGAAAUCCUCUGGGCUAAUACCCCGGGGGGAUGACGGUACCGGAAGAAUAAGCACCGGCUAACUACGUG
rnacentral:rRNA from 1 species